rnacentral:rRNA from 1 species
UACGGAGGAUCCAAGCGUUAUCCGGAUUUAUUGGGUUUAAAGGGUGCGUAGGUGGCCUGUUAAGUCAGGGGUGAAAGACGGUAGCUUAACUAUCGCAGUGCCCUUGAUACUGAUGGGCUUGAAUGAACUAGAGGUAGGCGGAAUGUGACAAGUAGCGGUGAAAUGCAUAGAUAUGUCACAGAACACCAAUUGCGAAGGCAGCUUACUAUGGUUUUAUUGACACUGAGGCACGAAAUCGUGGGGAUCAAACAGG